rnacentral:lncRNA from 1 species
AAAAGAUAAACAUAAGUCAACCAAAUAAACCAAAUAAACCAAAAAAGCCAAAUAAACCAAAUAAACCAAAUCAGCAGCCGCAAAUAAAUAAUUGCUAAAACGUCUUUUUGUCAUUAUUAUUAUUAUAUUUAUUUAUUUAUUUUUUUUUUACUUCAAACAGUAUAUUCAUGUUUGUUGGGUCAAUCCUUCUGGUCAUGUUAGCUUAUACCCUUUUUGCAUAAACAUGUGUACAUAUAUAAUAGUACAUAUAGUUAUAUAUAUAUCAUGACAUGCCCCUGCAUAUACUUUUACGAUGUCUUGUCAUACUGAUAACAAUCCUAAUUACAACAACAAAAUGUGGUAUACCAGGUCUGCAUAAAUGGCUAAUAAAUAAUUUUUCAAGUUGCGUUAAAGUAGUUAAAAAAAAAAAACUACUUGAUGUUAAUACUAAUUUUUCGAAUAGUAACAUAAAAAUAAAUAACGACAUUAAAAACAUUAUUUUUAAAAAAGAUGAAGAAGAAGAAAAAAAAAAAAACAUUUUACAUGUAGACAAUGUGUUAUUCGAUUUAAAUCAGUUAUUACAUAAGGCAAAUGUGAAAUUUGUAAACUAUAAUAAUUAUUUUUUUAAACUAGCUAACUUAAUAACAAAUGUGUUACAUAUAUUCCAGCCAAGAAAAAAUAUCAUAUUUGCAAUUGAUGGUAUUUGUCCUUUUUCGAAAUUAAAACUACAAAUAAAAAGAAGAGCAAAAGAGCAAAAAAAAAAAAAAAGUAAAAUAAAAAUAAAUAACAGCAAUAGCAGCAAUAAUAAUAAUAAUAAUAAUAGUAAAAAUUCUUUACUAACUAUAAAUGACAUAACAUGUGGUAGUGCAUUUAUAAGAAAAAUCUCAAAUUUUAUGAGUAAUUUUGUUAAACAUUUAUUAACUCUAAAAAAAUAUGAACAUGUUAAUAUUUUUCUUUCGACUGAUAAAGAAGUAGGUGAAGGUGAAUUAAAGCUAAUAAAUUGGAUAAAUAAUUAUGUUAAUGUAGGCAAUGGUGUUGCAGGUGAUCAAUUUAGACAAAGUAAACUGAGUGAUAAUAUUAAUCCGGAUGAC